GAGUAGUAGGUCUGUGCUUCCCUUGUCUGGAGGCACCGCCUCUGUGUCAGAACAAUGAGCAAGAUAACACCUUUAAACUUAUUUUAGCUUUUUUUCUACCCUGAGGUUUUUUUUUUCAUUGUUAGGAAACAUGUAACUUGUUUGAUGUUGCCUCUUCUGUAACAUAGGCUUUAUGUAGGCUUUUCAUGUAAUCAUAAAAUAAUGUCCUGAAGGUAAAAAGGAAAGGCAGUAAUGCUUUUCUUUUGGGGCGGGCGAAUCCUCCAGGCAUAGCCCUUUUGUGCCUGCAGCUGUACCGGGUCGCCUGUGACCAGACCUGUCUGCUGCGAUCCCUGGACCACGGAAGAGAACACUUUGGAAUCUGCACAGCUGGAGCUGCACUUUCCUCUGUGGAGAUGCUGGGCCCUUUGCCUUCCGAGCUGUGCUCCAGAGAACCAUCGUCUGCCGGGAUUCAGACCUUCCCGGCGAGCUGCUCUAUGGACAGGCGGGUUACCUGUACGCCUUACUCCACGUGAACUUGGAGAUGGGUCCCGGCGCCCUGUGUGAGUCAGCUGUCAGAGAGGCAGUCGCUGCUGUUGUUAAAUCAGGCAAGACUUCAUCGAGGGAAGAAAAGAAGGCUGAGCGCCGUCCCCUGUUGUAUCAGUGGCGCAGGAAGCAGUAUGCUGGCGCGGCCCAUGACGUGGCUGGAAGGUACUGCAUGUUAAUACCGGUGAGUGGCUAGCGCAGUGACCGCAUUAUGACAGAUCCCCGCUGGGACAGGAGAUGGGAACUGAAGUUUUACUACAAACCAAGCAGGUCAAAAUGAAACGAGGAUCCUACUUUGAGUCCUGGCUCCCUGAGCGCUGCUUCAUCCCCAAGCAGUGACCUCCUGAGAGCACAUUCUGUGUGCAGGCUUGUGCUCGAUUGGGUGUCUGCUGCCCAACCUUAUUCUGUCCACGUCCUCCUGCUCUGAUAAUAGGGGAGAACCUUUGCGGGGCUGAAAGGGCUUCCAGAAUCCACACCAGGGCAGAGACUGUUUCCUAUUCAGAUACCUCCAACUUACCAUCAGUUGUGUUCAAAAUGUUUACCCAGUUUAUUGUUGUAGUUAAGAUCUUGUCUCUGUAGUGAGUUAAGUACUGACUCUUCCGUCACAUAGUCAGAGACCUCUCCCCAAACAUUGCUGCAGCCUGCUUGCAGCCUUACGGCCUGUGGGUCCCGUGGCCUCCUUCUCUGCUCUGUGUGUGGCCUACAGGCAGACCUUGGGGACAUCGUGGGUUCAGUUCUAGAUUGCCGCGGUAAAGCAGCUACUGCAGGGAAGCUGGUCACAGGAAUGCUUUGGUUUCCCAGUGCAUAUAAAGAUUAUGUUUACAUGA